rnacentral:misc_RNA from 1 species
CCCCCCUCCCCCCCAAGGAACCACGCAACAUUCCAGACGAUGAUUGUGUGGCGGCCAGCCUGAACUGACCACCAUGAGGGCCGUGCCGACCUGGGUGGACAAGGUGCAUGAUCGGGACAAAGUAGAACAGUGUAUAUAUGACUUGUGCUUUAGACCUGAUGGAUCACAGCUGAUUGUAGCAGCAGGAAACCGUGUGCUGGUGUAUGACACAACGGACGGAGCGCUGGUGCAGCCUCUCAAAGGUCACAAGGAAGCAGUUUAUUGUGUGGGCUACAGUAAAGAUGGAAAACGUUUUGCUUCUGGCAGCGCUGACAAGAGUGUUAUCAUAUGGACUUCAAAACUUGAGGGCAUCCUUAAAUAUUCGCACAAUGAUGCUAUACAGUGCUUGGCAUACAACCCUGUGUCCCACCAGCUGGCCUCCUGUGCCCUCAGUGACUUUGGCUUGUGGUCACCUGAGCAGAAGAGUGUACAGAAGCAUAAGAGCACAAGUAGGAUUUGUUGCUGUGCCUGGACCAAUGAUGGGGUGUACCUGGCCCUGGGACUAGCCAAUGGGGUGGUCUCCAUCAGAAGCAAGGUUGGAGAAGAAAAAAUGAGAAUUGAACGUCCAGGAGGAAUAAACUCCCCAAUAUGGUCGCUGGCCUGGAAUCCUUCAAAAGAUGAGCCUGUGGACGUUCUUUGUGUUGCUGACUGGGGCCAGAAUCUUUCUUUUUACACUCUCAGUGGUAAACAGGUGGGAAAAGAAAGGGUGCUUGGCUUUGACCCUUGUUGUGUGAGUUACUUCAGUAAAGGAGAGUAUAUACUGGUAGGAGGCUCCAACAAAGCCUGUCUGCUAUACACCAGGGAGGGGGUCAAGCUAGGCACCAUUGGGGAGCAGUCAUCCUGGGUGUGGUGCUGUGCUGCUCGUCCAGACUCCAACUUUGUGGCUAUUGGAUGUCAAGAUGGAACAAUUGCUUACUACCAGUUGAUAUUUUCCACGGUGCACGGCCUCUACAAGGAGCGCUACGCUUUCCGAGAGAACAUGACAGAUGUCAUAAUACAACAUCUUAUCACAGAACAGAAAGUGAGAAUCAAGUGUCGUGAUCUUGUUAAAAAGAUUGCGAUCUACAAACAUCGCUUGGCAGUGCAGCUGCCUGAAAGAAUCAUCAUCUAUGAGCUGUACUCCCAGGACGCCUCAGACAUGCAUUACCGAGUCAGGGAGAAGAUCAAUCAGCGCUUGGAGUGUAACCUGCUGGUUGUUUGCACCAAUCACAUUGUUCUCUGUCAGGAAAAGCGUCUGCAGUGCCUCAACUUUGUUGGGAACAAAGAGCGUGAGUGGCAAAUGGAUUCACUGAUUCGGUACAUCAAGGUGGUGGGAGGCCCAGCCAGUCGGGAGGGUCUUCUCCUUGGCCUCAAGAAUGGACAGGUGCUAAAGAUCUUCCUGGACAAUGCAUUUCCUGUGCCACUGCUGAAGGUUCCCUCAGCCAUCCGGUGCUUGGAUCUGAGCUCCUCCCGCCAGAAACUUGCCGUGGUGGAUGAGCACAGCACACUUCUGGUUUAUGACGUCAAGACUUCAGAGAUGUUGUUCCAGGAGCCCAAUGCCAAUAGUGUUGCUUGGAACACAAGUUGUGAAGACAUGCUGUGUUUCUCUGGAAGCAACACGUUAAAUAUCAAAGCUUCUAAUUUUCCAACUCAUCAGCAGAAAUUGCAGGGUUUUGUUGUUGGGUUUAGUGGCAGCAAGAUCUUCUGUCUGCACAUUUACAGUAUGUCAACUAUUGAGGUGCCACAGUCUGCUCCAAUGUACCAGUACCUCGAUAAAAAAAUGUUCAGAGAGGCCUAUGAAAUUGCAUGUCUUGGUGUCACUGAUGGAGACUGGGAAGCGCUGGCCAAGGCAGCUCUUGAAGGCUUGGAAUACAACAUUGGCAAGAAGGCAUUUACUAGAGUGAAGAAUCUACGAUACCUAGAACUGAUACAUUCAAUUGAGGAUCGACAACACAAAGGAGAGGUUGAUAACAACUUAUUUCUGGCUGACAUUUUGGCAUAUGAAGGCAAGUUUUCCGAGGCUGCCAAGCUGUACCACAGAUGUGGCAAGGACCAGGCAGCCAUGAACAUGUACACAGACCUCAGAAUGUUUGAUCUGGCACAGGAGUAUCUUGGUUCUGAUGAAACUGUGGACAGGAAGCAGUUAAUCAGGAAGAAAGCAGAUUGGGCUCGAAAUAUCAAUGAGCCUCGGGCAGCAGCAGAGAUGUACUUGUCUGCUGGAGAGACUCACAAGGCUAUUGAAAUAAUGGGAGAGAAUGGCUGGGUUGACAUGCUGCUGGAUGUUGGCCGUAAGACUGACAAGGCUGACCGGCAGACCCUGAACCUGUGUGCUGAACACCUGCGCCGCCUCAACUCCCUCACCUAUGCUGCUGAAAUGUACAAAAAAAUGGGAGAAAUGCAGAGUGUGAUAGAACUUUAUGUGGAGGUGCAAGACUGGGAGGAGGCGUUUGUGUGGGCAGAGAAGCACCCAGAGUACCGGCAGCUGGUAUAUGUUCCCUAUGCCACAUCUUUAGCUGAACAAGACAAGUUUCUACAGGCACAGAAAGCUUUCCAUAAGGCUGGCAAACCAGAGGAGGCCUUCAGGGUGCUAGAACAGCUCACAAUGAAUGCUGUGAAUGAGAACAGGUUUGAUGAUGCUGGCUACUACUUCUGGAUGUUGGCCAUGCAGUGUCUGGACCUGGCAGCUGAGAAUCUGAAGAGAGUUGAUAAAGAAAACAUUCAGUAUAUAAACAUUGAAGAGGAAUACAGCGCCAUGAUGGCAAAGUUUAGUGACUACCAGAAGAAGGCAUCAAUGUACUACGUUUAUCAUACUAUCCAACGCUACAUGGAUGAACCCUUCACUGCCUACAUGCCUGAGGCCUUGUUCAACAUCUCCAGGUUCCUGAUGCAUGAGCUGAUGACUGCACAGCCCACUGGCAUCUCAAAAUUCUCCACCUUGUACACUCUGUCAAAGCAGGCAAGAAACCUGGAAGCUUACAAGCUUGCUCGUUAUGUGCUGGAUAAGCUGCAGGCUCUGCGCAUUCCUCAGAGAUUUCAGGAAGACGUUGAGUUAGCAGCACUCAAGAUUCGAGCCAAACCUUUCCACGACAAUGAGGAGCAUCAGCCACUGUGCUACCGCUGCUCCACAACCAACCCGCUCAUCAACAAUAAUGGCAACCAGUGUGUCAAUUGCUGCCAUGCAUUUGUUUACUCUUUUGUGUCUUUUGAAAUCUUACCGGUUGUUGAAUUUGUGCUUGAGGAGGGAUUGUCUGACGAGGAUGCUCUACACCUGAUCCAGCAGUCUGGAGGGAGUGACUCAAGGAAUGGCAAUGACACAAAAGCAGGUGCUUAUGAUGAAGAGGAAGACAACCACUGGAAGCGUUCAGACUCAGGCACUGCUGAGGCGCUCACCCUUGAUGGCUCUCCCACGCACGCUGAGCCAAGCGAUGACCCAUUCACUGCUAAUCUCAUGAACUUUUAUGGUGGCUCAGAGUACCAGCCAGUGACUGUGGGUAGGAAGGCUCUGAUAGCAAUGGAGCCCCAUGAUGUCAUUGUCUGUCGCUGGCCAAAGCCCCUCAGAUUCCAGUACUACAAGAACUUUAUGCCAGACAUGCCAAUUACUCUCUGUGUCCACUGUAAUAAGAUGUUCCACACUGAUGACUACACUCUGCAGGUGCUCCAGAAGGGUCACUGUCCCUUCUGCCGCACACCCAUUGGAGACACUUCUGACAACAACAAUGACUGAACACUUAGUAAUGGGUGCAUGUGUUUGAAGUGCAAGUGAAAAUAACUGACAGUAGCCUCCUCCUCCUUCAAACAGGUACCUACCUCAUCAGAUUAUGAAGACUCGCAGGAGAGGAGUGGCCUCCUUGAACUGAUGGAAAAAGUGUUCUAUAAUUCAUGAGACUUGUGAUAUUAAGGAAUUGAAUUGAGUCACGAAUAACCUAAGAAGUGCUGUAGUACGAGUAUUCAUGUCAACAAAUCUAGUACUCAAGCAAAGAAGGAUAAAAAUCAAUAGAUUUCUUUAAGAUGAAUUUGUACUUUAUGACCAUGUCAGUAAACAAAAAUUUUUA